ACACAUGCAAGUCGAGCGGGGGAAGGUAGCUUGCUACCGGACCUAGCGGCGGACGGGUGAGUAAUGCUUAGGAAUCUGCCUAUUAGUGGGGGACAACAUCUCGAAAGGGAUGCUAAUACCGCAUACGUCCUACGGGAGAAAGCAGGGGAUCUUCGGACCUUGCGCUAAUAGAUGAGCCUAAGUCGGAUUAGCUAGUUGGUGGGGUAAAGGCCUACCAAGGCGACGAUCUGUAGCGGGUCUGAGAGGAUGAUCCGCCACACUGGGACUGAGACACGGCCCAGACUCCUACGGGAGGCAGCAGUGGGGAAUAUUGGACAAUGGGGGGAACCCUGAUCCAGCCAUGCCGC
rnacentral:rRNA from 1 species